ACUUUAUUUGUAUAUAUUUAUGUUGAGUUGUGUGUGUGUGUGUAUAUAUAUAUACAUAUAUAUAUACACACACACACACAACUCAACAUAAAUAUAUACAAA